rnacentral:misc_RNA from 1 species
GCAUGCAUGAUGCAUUUCUCGUUUGCACUUUGCAUCGAAAAUCGUCAUCGAUGACGGUUCGGGAUAUUAAAAUCAAAAUGUGAGUCGAAUCUAUCUCCUUUGUGAAAUAAUCUAUCUAAAAUGAACGUCGUCGCAAAAAUGGCAGGAAUAAGUGGUAAAACAGGAACCCGCAGACGAGAUGCAAUCAGAGUGCAAGUUAUGAAAUGUUCGGGCCUGUUGCAACCUGAGUAUAAGAGCUUCAGUAUAGAUCCUGAAAUCACCAGCUUUGACAUGCUACAGCUUCUCCUUGUACAAGCAUUCCAACUAAAGAUAGGUUUUACCAUCAGCUACCUGUCACAUGAUGACAGAGGUCAGGAGGUCUAUCUAUCCAUGUUGUCUGAUUGGGAUUUAGAUGCUGCUAUCUGUGGAGCUUCAGACCCAUGCCUUAGGCUUAAAGUGGAUGCUAAACCAUUUGAUGGUCCAGGACUCUUGGAGGACUGGGAUGUGAUUACAGGAAUGGAAGCACCUCUUCACAAUUCCCAUGAUCGCAGCCAUUCUGUACCACUAGUCGGCGCUUUUAUGGAUCAAGUUGGGAAGACCUUCAAUAGGUUUCAGAAAAUCUUCACAACCAAUGAUGAUUCAAUGGAAGGGGAAAAGUAUGAAAUGCCAAUGAGACCUCUGGAUGAUCAGGAGUUCUGGUCAUUCUUGGAUCCACUUGGACGUCUUGAGAGACCACAGGAGCUACGUAUUAGGGUGUACCAGGGAGGUGUUGAAUCAUCCCUGCGCAAGGUAGUCUGGCGCCAUCUCUUGAAUAUCUAUCCCGAGGGUAUGACUGGAAAUGAGAGGCUAGACUACAUUCGAACCAAAUCAAGAGAAUAUGAGCGGUUGAGAGACAGACUUCAAAACGACCCCAGAGAGGACUUCAAAAAUAUUAAGAACAUGGUGCGUAAGGAUGUUCUACGGACUGAUCGUCUUGAGAAGUUCUAUUCUGGCGGGGAUGAAAACCCAAAUGGUAUUAAGUUGUUCAAUGUCUUGACAACCUACUCACUGGCACAUCCUGAUGUAUCAUACUGCCAAGGUAUGAGUGACCUGGCUUCACCCAUUCUCUAUGUAAUGAAUGAUGAAGCUCAGGCCUACAUUUGCUUUUGCAGUUUGAUGAAACGUCUUAAAGGUAAUUUUAUGCCUGACGGACAUGCCAUGUCCAUCAAGUUUUUGCACCUUACAGAACUCAUUCGCUGUUUGGCUCCUGACUUUUAUGAUUACCUCAAAGAACAGAAUGCAGAUGAUCUCUAUUUCUGUUACAGGUGGCUACUUUUGGAGCUGAAGAGAGAGUUUGCAUUCCAGGAUGCAUUGAGGAUGUUGGAGAUUAUGUGGAGUUCCCUCCCUCCAGAUCCCCCAACUGAUGGUGUUACACUAAAUGGACCGAUCACUGGGAAUUCCCCUUCAGCAUAUGCAAUUGACAGGGUCCGCUUCCGCUUCUCACGUCUCAGGAGCUCAUCUAGGGACAGUCUAGGCAGUCAGAGCAGUUUGAACAAAACCCCACAGUCUGUAUCACAUGCUGACAGCAAUUCCAAAGAACAGUUGAAAGAGGAAGAUCCAAGCAGGGUGAGUGAAACACUCAGGGAAGUAGAUGACGAGGAAGCAGAUAGUAACAAGAACGAAGAACAGUGCGAAGAAAAAGAAUCAUGUGCUACCAAAUUGGAGCCUGCAGAAAAGAAAUCUAAAUCAUCGAAAGUCAAAAAGUAUAGAACUGAGUUGCAUAUUUCUAUUGAAAAGGAAGACCUAUCUGGGAGAAAUACUAAUGAAGGGAUAUCAAAUCAUAGAGGACAGGGUGAAGAAGGCAAACCCAACAACAAUGCAAAGAGCCAUCCAACUAGCCUAGCAUUCUAUCAGAAAUCAAGUGAUGAUAUGACCUCUCCUGGAAGUGAAACCUCUCCUCUCCUAAAUUCCUUACCGAAGUCUCCUCCCAAAUCUCCCCAGAGACCCCACCCCAUGUCACCACUAAAAUUCCCCCGUCAGUCUCCAUCUUCCCCCUCCCGUAGCCUGUACAGAGGCUUGCCCCCUCCUCAAGACUUUGGUGGAGGAAACCCCUUCAUGAUGUUUGUCUGUGCUGCAUUGCUUCUUGGUCACAGUCGCAGGAUCAUGGCCAAUAAAAUGGACUAUAAUGAAAUGGCCAUGCUGUUUGAUAGGAUGGUACGCAAGCAUCACCUGAGCAAGGUAUUGCAUCAUGCUAGAGCCUUGUACUUGGAGUAUCUACAAUCUGAGGCGGCUAGGCCACAGGUUCAGGUUGUAGGGACCAAAGCAGCUGGGAAGGAUGGACCAAGUGGUAUGUCAGGUCUUAAUGGCUCUGCCGCUGCAACAAUCCAAGGCUCUUGUUAAUGUAAUCAAUAAAGCCGCAUCCAAACUGCCUAGAAAUUGUUUAUUGUUAAUGUAUGUUUUUAGUGCAGUCUUAAAGGUCUGGAUAGUGGAUGCAGUCCGGAUGACAAGUGGGAGAGAGUUACAGAGGGUUGCAGCAUUGAGGUGAAGGUGCUAUUGCUGUAGUACUGUGUCUUAAAACAAGGAACCUGAAGAAGAUGCUUAUUCUGUGACCUCAGAGCACGGGAAGGAGUGUAGGUGUUGAUGAGUUCAGAAAGAUAUGACGAACCAGACAGAGACUUAUAGGUGAAGAGGAGGAUCUUCAUGCAAAUUCACUUGUCAAUUGGAAGCCAGUGGAAGUUACGAAGGAGGGAUGAGUUGGAAGUCAGUCCAUUAGCUCACACUGUGAUUCUUGCUGCUAUGUAUGUUGUUGCCUUUGACUUGCUUUUAAUUUUUAUUUUUAGGAUUUUCAUUUGCCUUCAGAUCCCAAGUAUUCACUUUCCUUUCUUGUUUAAUAGAGAUAUCAGUUUCUUUUCUCAUUCUAUUUUGAUGAUGACUGAUGAGUAAUGAUGGUAGGAUAUUUUUUUACCAUGUCACAACUUUUACUUUAUAUGGUUCGUGCUAAGAAAUGAAGAUAUUUCUGCCGUGGCGUCUGUCAUCUGUCCACAGUUUCAAAAUGCUUCUUCUUUGUCAUUUUAAAUCUGAUUUCAUUUUUGUUUACUUUUAUGAUAGCACUAGGUGGAGGAUUCAAAACUUAUACACAGAAUUUAUUUUUUUUUUACAUUAGAGAGCUACAUGAGGUUCACCAAGUUUCUUCACAGAAUUUAGACAUUUUGACUAGAAAAUUAUGCUAAUUUAUACAAAAUUUAUUCAUAAAUCACAAAAAUGCUUCUCUGUCAUUUCUUCAUCAAUUUCAAUUCUGUUUCCUCAAUUUAUGUCACCAAUAUAAUUCACUACAGUGUCAACUGGGCUGAAAUUGAAAUUUGUGUUAACUUUGAUGCUGGAUGAGCUCCACAUUAUGAUGUAAUAGUUUAGAAAGGCAAUUCCCAUUUCAAGGUAAAGAUGCCUAGAUUUGAGAGGCAAAACAAGUGAUUAUUGCUUUGUAUAACUUUUUGUGUAGUUUUUCAAAACCUAUAAUAAUACUUGUUAGUUUCAAAAGAGCACCAGCAGUUCAAAACGAGUGCUAUUUGAAAUGAACCAAAAGUAAGAAUGUAUUAAUUUUCCCCAGACCAUGAUACAUAUUCUUCCUGUCAAAAAACAUUGAUAUGCCAUUAUAUUGUAUGUAUAAGAAAUGUUUGUGUACAUCUUACAUCUUGAUACUGCCAAUGACUUUAUGAAAGUUCUAUUACCUAGCUUGAUAUAAUUUUCCAAUAUCCCUAUGUCUAUGUAUACAUACACAUGUGCACCAUAAAAAGUGGGAUGAAGGUAUAAGAAGAUAUUUUUUCUUUAUUGUGUUUUUAAGCUGAAUCUCACUUCUACAGUUUCCUUCAAGACUGAUUUUCAUAGGGCUCACAAAUAUUUUGCUAAGGAUGCAAUUUGUGAAGUCCAACAUUUUAAGGUCAUAAGACAAAAAGGUGCUUAAGUUUCGGAAGCUUUGUGAAUUGUUUGUGGGAGUCGCUUUUCGUUCACAAGUAGUAUUAACAAUUUUCCCGCUUAACGUUUGCGAGCCCUGUUAAAAGAAGGCUUGUGAAAGGAAAAUGUGUUAUUUGGGAUGCCUUGAAAACAAAAAGAAAUUUCAUACUUUGAAAUUAAUAGCUGCACUUAACAAUGAAAUCCCUCUUGCAAGCAAUACAAUCUGCACAAUACAAAAGACAUCACAAUUUCACAAUGACUGUGCUAGAAGUAAUCAUUAGUAAUCUCUCUCUUUGAAAUGUAUCUAGAUGCAUAUCUUUAUAAUUUAGUUUUUUUCAUUAGAUUCUUCUGAAUAUUGUUCUAGCAUCCUUAUUAAGUUAGAAACAGAUAUAAUACUACCCGGAUUUAACUCCAGUACUCUGGACAGUUAAAGUUACAGUACUUGUUUUUUUCUUCUUCUUUUUAUACUGUAUAAGUACUAUUAAGAAUUAUUUAUUUUGUUAAGAAGCAAAUACAUGUAGUAUUAUAUUGCAAUGCUGUAUAUAUUGUAAUAUUCUCUUGAUCAAUUGCUACAUAAGUUAAUCCUCAAUUUGUUUUAUUAAUUUUACAAAUUAAUUAUCGUUAACUUAAAUGCAAAUAGCUUUUCGCGUAGUCACAUGAACUGUGGCACCUCAGAGGUGCCACAGUUCAUGUAUGACAUUUGCCUAGAUAUCUGAACAAUUUUUGUUCUGAAAUAUCUACUGCCAUAUCAUACAGUGUAUAAAGCUGGAAAAAUGUGUAGCAAGCUAGCAUUCAUCACAAAACUGUCUUAUUUCAUAUACCAUUACAGAUAUCUAUGAAAAGAAAAUUUUUAAAGAAGUUGGGAUUUGUGUUUUUAAAACAAUCUUAGUUUAAUAUAUAAACUUAAAUUAUAUUCUUGUGUUUUUGUGUGUAUAUUUGGGAUUAUUUCAUUUGAUAUAUGGGCGUGUAUAGAUUAAUUACAUUGCUAGCAUAUUAGAGAACUCCUAUUUGAAUUAUAGUCUUUAAUAGCAAAUGUGGUAAACAAUCUUUUUUUGCAAAAUGUAGUUUAUUUAAAUGUGUUUUAUUACUUUGUUUUUGUAGAAUAUAUCUGAAUUUAAUUAUAAGCAUAGAAAAUGCAAUUAAAAAAUGCAACACGAAAAAGCAUUAUUGGUAUUGCCAGUGCAAUUGCAUUAUUGUCUAUUGAACUUGGUAAGACAUAUCUUACUAAAGAUUUAUCAUGAUAUGUUGCUCCAUAGAGUCUAUGUGCAGAUUAUAAAUGUGAGAAUGUCAGUGCUGAUUACUAUGAAAAAUUAUUUUACAGUACUGUUAUCUAUUCUGAUUAAAACACAAUCGGAUGUCCCUUUAUUGAUCUACAUUCCAUUGCUUUGAUAAUCUGUCCCUGUUGAGCUGACACACCUAAUGCAAUCACAGAUGUUCAUUCUUAUGCAUAUUAUCAUAGUGUGUUUAAUUCCAAAAUAGUCAAUAGAUGCAUUUACACACAGUAAUAUAAAAAGUGAAUUUCAAUUGAAAAUUUUGGUUGAUGGGAUGGAUAGUUCAAAGAGAAUGAUUUUCAAUUAGAAUUCAAACUUACUGAGUGGGGUUCAUUCUAGUUUGAUCCCUUCCCCAACAACAAGAAACCCCCAGUUUUUAUUUGAUGCUAUUUGAAUCAUUAUUAGAAUAGUAAUAAUUUUGUACUUGGUUGACACUCACACAUAAAAUUAUUUGGAAUUAUCAUUUUGAUUUUAUGAAACGCAGAUGUAAUACACAUGUGUUGAAUUAAGCCAAAGGGUUAACUAAAACCUAAGUCAGCUUAUGUUUUACAAUAUCAACAUUAUUUUUAUUUAGUUUUUCCCCAUAUAAUUUGAAUCAUGAUUGAAUGUUAGCUUAAUGGCCCAAAUAAUUUUUGAAAACAAGCUUUGUUUAAAAAAUCAUUGCCAUUUAUUGCUUCUACUUGCCAGUAAUAUCGUCAACCAUAUUUAGAGUUGUAAUGGCAUUAAGGUAGUCACCUUGACCACAUCCAUAUUUAGCUAUAUGUUAUAUUUGAUUUUUGAAAUGUAAAUGAGCAUAUAAUAACCAUGGUGAUUUAUUGAAAUUUACUUUCUAGAUAUUAAUGAGUAUAUUUAAUAUAUGUUCACAUUUAAAAGUAUGUGUAUAUUUUUUUCUUCCGUGUCUUGUACAAGUUAUUUUCCUCUUUAUUUUGGAGGGUAGGGCAUUGGGGAUGAUGGAUUGCGUAUCUUUUCUAGCAAUUUGUUUUCUUGAGCCCCUUUUAAGACAGCACGGUUGUUCAGUGUAUGUUGAUGUUAAAUGUGUACAAUACAUGUUGAGUCAUAAAUAAAAGCGAUAAGUAUCUUAGCCAGGGUAAUAUAGGAAUGCCUUGAGUACCUUAUAAGGUGGAUAUGUACACUAUACAAAUACCACACCCUUUUUCUUUUCAUUUUAUUAAGUGUGAAUAAAAGGAUGUGAUCAAAAUCAUUGAUUUGAAAUUUUAAUUCUCAAGUGUGUACAAUCAGUGCAUGAAAUGGGAAAUUUUGUGCCUAAAAAUUAAUCAUUUGAGAUGGUGUAUUGAGAAUUCUUCAAUAAUCUUUUGAUAUGUAUUUUGAUUUUCCUUGUUUGCUUUCCUUUAUGUUAAUGUACAUUCUAUACAUAAUUAAAUGAAAUGUACUUAAUAUUUUGAUUAUGCAAAACAUGCAGCAUGAUAUUUUGAAUAGAUAUAUAUUCACUUAUUUGUAUUCGCAUGUUUGGGUAAUCAUGCUUGACAAAAGUUGAAUGAUAGCAAAUUGUCAUUUGUGAACAUUAUCAUGCAAGAUGGUUUUGGCUUUGUAAAUAUGAUUUCUGAUAAAUAAACCAAACCAAACCCAAAAUAUUUUGGUUAUUUCACAAAAGAGUCAUUAAAGGAGAAAGAAACUUUUGGAAAAAGAUAGCUUGUGUGAAAACAGAAAAAUCAAAGAAACAGAUCAACAAAAGUUUGAGAAAAAUCAGACAAAUAAUG